rnacentral:rRNA from 1 species
CCAAAACGACUCUCGGCAACGGAUAUCUAGGCUCUCGCAUCGAUGAAAAACGUAGCGAAAUGCGAUACUUGGUGUGAAUUGCAAAAUCCCGUGAACCAUCGAGUUUUUGAACGCAAGUUGCGCCCGAAGCCAUUAGGCUGAGGGCAC